UUAUCCCUGCGAUGCUCGUGAUCGAGAUAAUGUCUUGAGCCAACGCUCGAUUCCAUGAGGCGCAACGUCCUUGUCGGGGAUGACAGCCCUUGCGGCCGACUGAACCAAGACGAGGCGAACCUCAACUUAAUGGGAACGGGUCAAGACUUUCAAGACACGGCAUCUGCGGGGAAUUU
rnacentral:other from 1 species